rnacentral:rRNA from 1 species
UGGGGAAUAUUGGACAAUGGGCGCAAGCCUGAUCCAGCAAUGCCGCGUGUGUGAAGAAGGCCUUCGGGUUGUAAAGCACUUUUAUCAGGAGCGAAACGCUGUCGGCUAAUACCCGGCGGAACUGACGGUACCUGAGGAAUAAGCACCGGCUAACUUCGUGCCAGCAGCCGCGGUAAUACGAAGGGUGCAAGCGUUAAUCGGAAUUACUGGGCGUAAAGCGUGCGUAGGCGGUUUCUUAAGUCUGCUGUGAAAUCCCCGGGCUCAACCUGGGAAUGGCAGUGGAUACUGGGAGGCUAGAGUGUGUCAGAGGGUGGUGGAAUUCCCGGUGUAGCGGUGAAAUGCGUAGAGAUCGGGAGGAACAUCAGUGGCGAAGGCGGCCACCUGGGACAACACUGACGCUGAGGCACGAAAGCGUGGGGAGCAAACAGGAUUAGAUACCCUGGUAGUCCACGCCCUAAACGAUGCGAACUGGAUGUUGGUCUCAACUCGGAGAUCAGUGUCGAAGCUAACGCGUUAAGUUCGCCGCCUGGGGAGUACGGUCGCAAGAUUGAAAACUUAAAUGAAUUGAC